rnacentral:tRNA from 1 species
CGACUCAUUAGAUUAUGAUCAAUUUCAUAAUUAUCAA